AACGAACGCUGGCGGCAGGCCUAACACAUGCAAGUCGAGCGCCCCGCAAGGGGAGCGGCGGACGGGUGAGUAACGCGUGGGAAUAUGCCCUUUGCUACGGAAUAGUCUCGGGAAACUGGGGGUAAUACCGUAUACGCCCUUUGGGGGAAAGAUUUAUCGGCGAAGGAUUAGCCCGCGUUGGAUUAGGUAGUUGGUGGGGUAAUGGCCUACCAAGCCGACGAUCCAUAGCUGGUUUGAGAGGAUGAUCAGCCACACUGGGACUGAGACACGGCCCAGACUCCUACGGGAGGCAGCAGUGGGGAAUCUUAGACAAUGGAGGCAGCCCUGAUCGAGCCAUGCCGCGUGAGUGAUGAAGGCCUUAGGGUUGUAAAGCUCUUUCAGCUGGGAAGAUAAUGACGGUACCAGCAGAAGAAGCCCCGGCUAACUCCGUG
rnacentral:rRNA from 1 species